rnacentral:rRNA from 1 species
ACCGCAUCCCGUCUGAUCUGCGCAGUUAACCAGAGUGCCGCCUAGUUAGUGCCACGGUGGGGGACCACGCGGGAAUCCUGGGUGCUGUGGUUUUUGCU